GGUGGCUUAAUGGUAAAGUGCUUGUCUUGCAUGCAUGAGGCCCUGGGUUUGAUUCCUCAGCACCA
rnacentral:tRNA from 1 species